rnacentral:rRNA from 1 species
AGCGAACGUUAGCGGCGGGCCUAACACAUGCAAGUCGAACGCGAAAGGUCUUCGGACUGAGUAGAGUGGCGCACGGGUGAGUAACACGUAGGUAAUCUACCCUUUGGCGGGGGAUAACGUUCCGAAAGGAGCGCUAAUACCGCAUAAGACCACGUGGUCUCCGGACCGAGUGGGAAAAGGUGGCCUCUUCUUGAAAGCUACCACCGAAGGAUGAGCCUGCGUCCCAUCAGCUAGUUGGUAAGGUAAUGGCUUACCAAGGCGAAGACGGGUAGCUGGUUUGAGAGAAUGAUCAGCCACACUGGCACUGGAACACGGGCCAGACUCCUACGGGAGGCAGCAGUGAGGAAUAUUGGGCAAUGGGCGAAAGCCUGACCCAGCCACGCCGCGUGAGUGAAGAAGGCCUCGGGUCGUAAAGCUCUUUCGGCCGGGAGAAGUACGCACAGGUUAAUACCCUGUGUGGAUGACGGUACCGGAAGUAAGAAGCACCGGCUAACU